UCGACGCUUCUUUCCUCCCGAGUGCUUGCACUCAAUUGGAAAGCGGAGUGGCGGACGGGUGAGUAACACGUGGGUAACCUGCCCAUCAGAGGGGGAUAACACUUGGAAACAGGUGCUAAUACCGCAUAACAGUUUAUGCCGCAUGGCAUAAGAGUGAAAGGCGCUUUCGGGUGUCGCUGAUGGAUGGACCCGCGGUGCAUUAGCUAGUUGGUGAGGUAACGGCUCACCAAGGCCACGAUGCAUAGCCGACCUGAGAGGGUGAUCGGCCACACUGGGACUGAGACACGGCCCAGACUCCUACGGGAGGCAGCAGUAGGGAAUCUUCGGCAAUGGACGAAAGUCUGACCGAGCAACGCCGCGUGAGUGAAGAAGGUUUUCGGAUCGUAAAACUCUGUUGUUAGAGAAGAACAAGGACGUUAGUAACUGAACGUCCCCUGACGGUAUCUAACCAGAAAGCCACGGCUAACUACGUGCCAGCAGCCGCGGUAAUACGUAGGUGGCAAGCGUUGUCCGGAUUUAUUGGGCGUAAAGCGAGCGCAGGCGGUUUCUUAAGUCUGAUGUGAAAGCCCCCGGCUCAACCGGGGAGGGUCAUUGGAAACUGGGAGACUUGAGUGCAGAAGAGGAGAGUGGAAUUCCAUGUGUAGCGGUGAAAUGCGUAGAUAUAUGGAGGAACACCGGUGGCGAAGGCGGCUCUCUGGUC
rnacentral:rRNA from 1 species